UUUUAUUAUAAUUGAAUGUAGCUCAAUAUAUCAAUGAGCUAAAUUACACAGCUUUAAAUAAGUAGAAAAACAACCAUAGUAGCAAAUAAACAGGAGAAAAUAACUGAACUAACUUAGGCAAUCAAACUCAUCACUCGCAGAAUCAUAACCACUUAGACACAUUCAAAGUAAAACAUAUUUACAAAAAUACACCUUAUCACUCCAAUGCUUUAGCACACGGCAAUCACUUUAUUACUCCAGAGGGAUGAACACAUCCUUAUAACUCCUUAAGCUAUUA
rnacentral:lncRNA from 1 species